UGCUCCCACACAGAAUUGAACUGUGCUUUCCGCUUUAUAAGGGCAGUGUCCUAACCGAUAGACGAUGGGAGC
rnacentral:tRNA from 1 species